AAAUGAGCAGCCUUUCAAAAGUAAUUUUACUAACUCAAUUUAUAAAAACAUCAAUUUCUAGAAAGCAAAAGACUGCAGGUUCUGAUUAUGCCUUUUUUCUCUUAUGUUACAGAAUGGAAAAGACUCCUGCAACUUGAUGACCACUUUGUGCAGAGAGACUCGUUUUCAAUAGAGCCAACCUCCAAGAAGUCACAGGAUUUGUUCCCAGCACUGGCCAACCAAUCUGGUCUCAAGAUAACAGAUAUUAAGAAAGGUGAGGACUGUAUCUUCGAUGGCCGCACAAUACGGAUUAUCAGGCAAGCUAGGCUGACUGCAUGAGCCUGCAUGACUACACUGGAAAGGUCAUGCCCUGCUCCUUGACCCGAAUAAGCCCUUGGUCUGUGCACCAGUGCAACUCCAUGGUAAGAGAGAAGCGACCACUUACAUUGCUGACUACGUGGGUCACACAUCUGGCUGCAGGACUUUGUGUGAAAUGCAGACUUUCUCGCUAAGGAUGGGAGUCAGGUCUAAUUACUUAGGAAUAGAAAGAGAAAAAGAAAAAAAAACUGCAAAAAACCCUGGGUUUUUUGGAAUGGAAUGCCUAUUUACCUGAUCGGCUUGGGUCCAACAUGCUGAGAAACUUCUCAUGUGAAUGGUGGUCAAGGAGGAGGAAUAUGAAAUGGCUUUUCUCGGCUCUGCGGCUGCUUGUGCCUGAUUCAGGGGCAUCUGUUCUUGACCCUGUAGACAGAGCAUCUGAUUUUAACCCAUCUUCCCUCAGCUUGAUAAAAGGGAAAGCCAUGAGAAGAAUUUGAAAUUAGCAACAAUUUUUGGCCCCUCAUUAACUUAACGGCUGCAGUAUUGUGCCUCCAGUAUUCCACAAAGCACAGUGAAUGACUGAACUUGGUAUGUUAUUAAUCAAGGCACACAUUUUUAUUGAGAAUUUUCUAUGGUCUCAACACUGGGAUUUUAGUAAGAGGUGAUAAAAAAAAGAUAUGUUCUCUGGUAGGGCACAUUAAUUGAUUCAUCAAAUAUUUCUUGGGAUUUACUCUUUUGCCAAGUACUCUAGGGAAAACACAGGGGUUUAAUGUAAGAUGUUUAAUUAUAAGAUAUCAUAUAUCUUAUAUUGGUGGAUACCUAAGAUUUCUUUUCUGAAUGAAACAAAAAUAUUUUAUUUUUGAUGUUAAAAUUUUCUUUUCUGUGCAUAAUUUUCAUGCUCUUUUAUUAUGAGAAAUUCAUCUCUCUAAAGAUGUAGUAAAACUGAGUGCGUGGGAUGUGUCGUCAUCAGACGCCACACGGAUUAAUUUUGAAGAUGUAACAGUCUUUAAAAAUUUUCUCAUUGGUAAUGAAGAAAUGGGUUUUAAUACCAGAUGGUACAGCACCAAGAGGAAUGUAUUUGUAAUAGCUCCAAGUUAGUACUAGAACAAAAAUUGAAGUCAUG
ensembl:lncRNA uncharacterized LOC117803696